rnacentral:sRNA from 1 species
GAUACCAGGGUUGAAAAUCGAGAACCACGACGUGCUCGCACGGGAGUGGUUAGAAGAUUUUACAACCCGCCCAAAUAUGAGCAUAAAAGCGGAGCGAAGCUACGCGAUAUGCGAAUAUUUGGUAGGAUUGCGGGAAUGCGGAGCAUGGAGCAAUCCGUAUGGU